ACCUGGGUGUCUCAGUUGGUUGGGCAUCUGACUUUGGCUCAGGUCAUGAUCUCAUGGUCCGUGGGUUCGAGCCCCACAUCAGGUU
rnacentral:tRNA from 1 species